rnacentral:rRNA from 1 species
UACGGAGGGUGCUAACGUUGUCCGGAAUUACUGGGCGUAAAGCGCAUGUAGGUGGUCUUGCACGUCGACGAUGAAAGACUGUCGCCUAACGACAGGAACGUUUUCGAUACGACAAGGCUUGAGGGAAGCAGGGGUACGCGGAACUUUCGGUGUAGGAGUGAAAUCCGUAGAUAUCGGGUGGAACACCAGUGGCGAAGGCGCCUGUCUGGCUGACAACUGACGCUGAGACUCGAAAGCAUGGGGAGCAAACAGG